ensembl:lncRNA
UCUGGCCCUGGAAAUUCCUCUGCUUCCUCUGUCUGCACUGUCUAGCUGUCUUGCUUCCCUCUCUGGGAGGGCCUGGCAUAACGCAUCCAAAAAAACCAAGGGUAGAAGUUGUUUUCCUGUAACUUCUGCUUCAGGAAAUGGCUGGCUACCUUCCGAAGAGGGAGAGAAAAUUACUUUCAGAAUAAAAGACAAAUUAACAUCUUGGAAAAUGACUGUAACCUUUCCAACCUGGCAGAGGAAAACCCUCCCUCUGCCUCUGCCGACAGUGACCUCGGGGUGUAGAAUGCCAGCCGGGCCCGGGAAAGGUUUGCAAAUGGCUGGCCUGGCUGCCCACUGCUGUUCUGGCCUUCCCUUUCCACCUGGAAAGAAAGAGUCCUCUGACUGAGAGAACAGAGUUGUCAGAUAACAACAGUCUGUACAUGGAGGCCUCAAACAGAGGCUCAAUCCACUGCCGAAAGAAAGCAAGAAUAACAGACACUGGAGGAAAGAGAGAUCUGGAACUCCCCAACUUGGGUUCAAGACCUGACUCAGACGUUUUCAAGCUGAGACCUUGAGACUCUGUUUUCUCAUCUGCAGAAUGUAUACAAAAAUAAUCCCUGCUUCACUCCAUUGAUGUGAGGAGCGAAGGAACUAACGUGCAAAGAAAGUGCUUCUCCAGAAGCCAUAGAAAUAUUUGCUGGCCUCAUGGGAAGUGACACAGGAAAAGAGCAUGAUUCAUGACUGCAAUACUGAUGUGGCGUAUUCCAGCGAGAUGGCUCCUGUGCUAUUUUUAAGCACAAAAAUGGGAGUUGAAUCGAAUUGUUGCCAGACGUAGAUGUGAUUGUCCCUGACGUGGUUCGCACGGCACCUGGCACACAGUAGGAGCUUGGUGAAGCCAGGCCAGCCUCUGGGAAGUGCAGAGCCAACUCGCAGCCCAGUGUGCUGGAGGCAGAAGGAGCAGGAAAGGCUGUGGGCUUCCAGAAGUUCCCUUCGAUGCACCCCUUCCAACAACCAGAGAUUCUCUCGAGCGUUUGGAGCCCCUGAAUCUCCUUGACUCCAUCCCACCCGGAAGAGCAGAUAUCCCGUAAGUGCCAAGUUUCUUCCGCUGUCUGCAGCUGACCAUGAUGUCUUCUAGCUGGCAGCCCACCCUCUCCCACAGACCCCCAGCCAAAUCCCCAAGGCCUCAGUGUCACCCGAGUUGCAGGAUGGCAGAAGCCAAGGACUCUGCCAUACCAUCUUUUUUGGCUUCCAGUUUCUCUGCUGCCAAGAAACGUGAAUUGGAGAUUGUAAAAUGAAGAUGUGCUGAUGUGCCACUCCCAACAAUGACAGUGGACCUGCCGUCUUGCUCCCAGCUCCCCGUCUAUACUUCCAUCUUCUCUGUUGGAAGGUACAGGAACCAUCGAUUUGCUCAGCUAUUUGUUAAAAAUGAAAGAAUGACUUUAUUCCGGUGUAUUUCAGAAUCUGUGCACAGCUCCUUUAAGAAUGAGAAGAAGACAGCAGAGGAGCAAGUGUGGCCAAAGGGCUGUUAGCUGGACCAUCUCCUUCUGCGGCAUCUGGUCUGAGCUCCCCUCCGCCUGUGGGACCCACCUCUCACUCUCUGAGGAUUCCCUGAAGUCAGACCCACCUUUAGGUUCUGCCCUUUUCCCUGAGCUUGUCCUUGGUCUUUGCUCUGUUGACUUGCGCCUCUUUGACCGCAGACACGUGCAGGCCUCUGCCCUGGCCCACCUCUCCUGCAGUCCUGAUCUGGACAACUGUUGGCUCCACUCUGUCCCCUGCUUCUGUCUGAGCCAGUGCUUGUUAACAGGUCUUUCGUGUGGCUCCUUCUUUCAUAUUUUAUGGCACUCCUUUCCUGAACUUGGCACCAAGUCCCUCUGGAACUGUCCUGGGAGAUAAUACAAUGUCACUGCUAAGGGCAACAACCGAUUGUCCCUCUUCCUCAAUGAUCUGCCAGUGUCCGUGAGCUGAACUCUCUCUCCGCUGGGAGAAGUCAAUGGAGGUCACUGCCCGAGAGAUUGAGGGUCAGUCUUUGUCUGCCUUCUUGACAGCUCCAAAAGUCUCAUGUUUCUGAUGAGAUCUGCUGAAGCUUUAUGGAGAGAAAAACCCAAGUGGUUCAAGCCGGCGUGCCUGGAUUCCCCUGGAAACAGCAGGAAGGCCCUUUCUGGGGGCUAUUUGUUAAAAUCGGUUACAGUGCAUUCCAGGAGAGAUGUUCCAAUGGCAGCCUUGCCGGAAUAGGAGCGAGAACAUGGAACGUGGAGUCAGUCAACCCAAGUUUCAAUGGGCAGAAGCAGCUCCUCACUUUCCAAACGAACAACCUUGUGCAAGUCAUCAAAACUCCCCGAGCCUUCGCUUCAUCAUCUAUAAAAUGAGGAUGAAAAGAAGACCUUUCUGACGGUGCUGGUUUGAAGAUCAAAUAAAAUAAUGAAUGUGAAAGU